AUUGAACGCUGGCGGAAUGCUUUACACUUGCAAGUCGAACGGCAGCACGGACUUCGGUCUGGUGGCGAGUGGCGAACGGGUGAGUAAUGUAUCGGAACGUGCCCAGUCGUGGGGGAUAACGUAGUGAAAAUUACGCUAAUACCGCAUACGAUCUAUGGAUGAAAGCGGGGGAUCGCAAGACCGCGCGCGAUUGGAGCGGCCGAUAUCAGAUUAGGUAGUUGGUGGGGUAAAGGCCCACCAAGCCAACGAUCUGUAGCUGGUCUGAGAGGACGACCAGCCACACUGGAACUGAGACACGGUCCAGACUCCUACGGGAGGCAGCAGUGGGGAAUUUUGGACAAUGGGCGAAAGCCUGAUCCAGCCAUUCCGCGUGCAGGAUGAAGGCCCUCGGGUUGUAAACUGCUUUUGUACAGAACGAAAAGGUUUCUACUAAUACUAGGAGCUCAUGACGGUACUGUAAGAAUGAGCACCGGCUAACUACGUGCCAGCCGCCGCCGUAA
rnacentral:rRNA from 1 species